CCUGCUCUCAAGUCUGGGCCCCAUCCUGGCUCAUGAGACCCUAAACACUGACCAUGUUUUCCUUUACCAUUUAUUUUGACCAUAAGCACUCUCCCCAACCCCCAGUGCCAACCUUGGCUUCCCAUUAAAAUCACUGAGAGAUUUUUCAAAAUCCUGUUGCCAAGCUGCAAUAUCCUGGCCAAAUAAGUGAAAUUACCAGAAGUGGAUCUCAGACUCGGGCAGAUUGAAAGGUAUUUUUAGAGAGGAGAGUCUCACCUCACAGUAUUCCGUGAUAAUGCAAAAAGUCUCCUGCUCCAUGAAGCUUGCAUGGAAUCUGACAAUGGCAGGAUGAUGGAGCCUGGAGAGGAGCUGAGCUUCCACAUUGGCCUGCACGGUCUCAUUUGGAUUUAAUUCGCCAACAGAGAUUUCCUUCAGUACCUUUCUGUAGCCAAAAACAAUAGAAAGCAAAGGAAGAAAAGAAAAAGAAAGAAGAGGAGAAGAAAGAAAGACAUCAAGAGUUGAGAAGUCUGUUUCUCUGUUGUAAGGACGUGGUACAGAACCCCUCACCAUGCCCAGGAAAUAAUCAGCUGCUCCAGGGCCUAGUUCUGCCUGCUCUGGGUCUGAAGCCCUGGGUCCCUGCCUGUCCCACCCAGUACCAUGGUGCUCCACAGCCUCUGAACGCCA
ensembl:antisense